rnacentral:rRNA from 1 species
GACAGAGGAUGCAAGCGUUAUCCAGAAUGAUUGGGCGUAAAGCGUCUGUAGGUGGCUUUUCAAGUCCGCCGUCAAAUCCUAGGGCUCAAUCCUGGACAGGCGGUGGAAACUACCAAGCUAGAGUACAGUAGGGGCAGAGGGAAUUUCCGGUGGAGCAGUGAAAUGCAUUGAGAUCGGAACGAACACCAAUGGCGAAAGCACACUGCUGGGCCAACACUGACACUGAGAGACGAAAGCUAGGGGAGCAAAUGGG